rnacentral:rRNA from 1 species
GAGUUUGAUCGUGGCUCAGGAUGAACGCUGGCGGCGUGCCUAAUACAUGCAAGUCGAGCGAACGGACGAGAAGCUUGCUUCUCUGAUGUUAGCGGCGGACGGGUGAGUAACACGCGGAUAACCUACCUAUAAGACUGGGAUAACUUCGGGAAACCGGAGCUAAUACCGGAUAAUAUUUUGAACCGCAUGGUUCAAAAGUGAAAGACGGUCUUGCUGUCACUUAUAGAUGGAUCCGCGCUGCAUUAGCUAGUUGGUAAGGUAACGGCUUACCAAGGCAACGAUGCAUAGCCGACCUGAGAGGGUGAUCGGCCACACUGGAACUGAGACACGGUCCAGACUCCUACGGGAGGCAGCAGUAGGGAAUCUUCCGCAAUGGGCGAAAGCCUGACGGAGCAACGCCGCGUGAGUGAUGAAGGUCUUCGGAUCGUAAAACUCUGUUAUUAGGGAAGAACAUAUGUGUAAGUAACUGUGCACAUCUUGACGGUACCUAAGUCAGAGCCACGGCUAACUACGUCG